rnacentral:rRNA from 12 species
AAAACGACUCUCGGCAACGGAUAUCUCGGCUCUCGCAUCGAUGAAGAACGCAGCGAAAUGCGAUACUUGGUGUGAAUUGCAGGAUCCCGCGAACCAUCGAGUUUUUGAACGCAAGUUGCGCCCGAAGCCUUUUGGCCGAGGGCACGUCUGCCUGGGUGUCACUC